ensembl:snoRNA SNORD83 Small nucleolar RNA SNORD83
GCCACAUGAUGACAUGAUAGCAUAGCAUUAGCACUCUGUGCAAAGAUGACUGCCUAUCUAUCACCCUUGUCUGAUGGCU